rnacentral:lncRNA from 1 species
AGCCUUGAGGGAGUCCAGCUGGAAGGGGCAACAGCAGAGGAGGAGCAGUGGUAUGUCUGAAAUUGCAAACUCAUAAAAGGGCUAGAAUAACUAAAUAACAAGUCAUCCAGGAAACACAGUCUGCAUGAUUCAAAUUUUUAAAAGGAAUGGAAAUGCUUUUUGUAUUGAUUGUAUUGGUUGCAUAUGUGUCAAAAUCCACCAAAUUGCAUGCUUCAAAUAUGUGCAUUUUAUUGUACUUCAAUUUUAUCUCAAUAAAGCUAUAGAAAAAAAAAUAAAAAGAAAAUAAAAAAGAAAAGGGCUGAGGCUGUGGCUCAGUGGCAGAGGGCUUGCCUAGCACCUGUGAGGCACUGGGUUUAAUCCUCAGCACCACAUUAAAUAAAUAAAUUAAAUAAAGGAUUGAGUUCAACAAUUUAAAAAGAGAGAGAGAGAGAAAGAAAGAAAGAGCAUUUUCUUUUCCAUGUAACUCCAAAUUGCAGCGCCUAAUUAAGUCGCAGGUCAGUGUGCUGCGGGUGACUGUAAGUCGCCACGUAACCCAGGCAACGGGAAGGCAGAGGACACUGCGUCCCCAAGGCUGCCUGAGACAGCCCUUGGCUGGGCCUCCAUGGGAUCAGCCUGGGGAGCGUCGUGAGCUCCUGGGCACCACUGUCCCUCUGCUUCCCUGGCACACACAGUGACACCACUUUCUUCAAGAGUUUUAUUGAAAUUCGGCGUAAACACAGACAAAGGCAUCGUUAUUUUAAUCUUUUCAUGGACCAUUCCUGACCUGCUCCGUUUUCUUCCCAAAGCUCGAUUCACUCACAGCCCAGUCUCGUGUCCCAACUGUGUGCAGGGUCCACUCCAUCCAGGCCUGGCUAAGCCAGGGCUCCGAAGACGGACCAGUGCCCAAAUAAGCCACAGGUGAGUGCAGGCCAGGACCCAAACAACGAGAGACCAUGGAGAUGGACCAUGGGGGACAAGUCCUGGGGACAGACCAGGACAAGGGGAGCAGAAAGCCAAGGCCCCCCAGGGGGAGUGACAGAAGGCUGCACUAAGGAGGUGAUGCCUAAGGUCGGGCUUUACAUCUGCUAAGUGGGUGGCAGAGCAGUCACGGAGGAGAGAGGAGGGUACACCCGGGUUAUGGCUGUGCAGCUUGGCUGGAUGGUUGCCCAGGUGGCAUGGAUCCUCUAAGAAGUGACACCAAAUUCAGAGAACACACUGGGGGCUGCACCAGACAAACAGUCUACAUGGGCCAGGUCUUGAUUCCUCUCUAUUCUCACUUCCCCAGGGUUUCCUUCACCUCCUGAGCUUGACCUGGUUCCCAUCUCCUGCCCUGUCCAUGUCCAGGCUGUGUCCUACCAUACUGGCUCCAGAGUGUCCUGGUGUAGAAGGAAAAAAUCUCUGUUCCACUCAGUGCCUGGGAGCAUGCUGGGCAUGAAAGGUGGAAGGCAUGUCACAUAACCAGAUAAUGGCAGCUGCAGUCAUUAUGAUAUUGAUGAGGGUAGAGGCAACUGGUGGUACAGUAGUCUGUUUUUGUAUUACUGUAACAAAACAACUGAGGCAGGCUAUUUAAUAAAAAAAAAGAGAGAGAGAGAGAGAGAGAUCUA